rnacentral:rRNA from 1 species
CUGCGAUAAGCGCCGGUAAGGUGAUAUGAACCGUUAUAACCGGCGAUACCCGAAUGGGGAAACCCAGUGUGACUCGUCACACUAUCAUUAACUGAAUCCAUAGGUUAAUGAGGCGAACCGGGGGAACUGAAACAUCUAAGUACCCCGAGGAAAAGAAAUCAACCGAGAUUCCCCCAGUAGCGGCGAGCGAACGGGGAGGAGCCCAGAGCCUGAAUCAGCAUGUGUGUUAGUGGAAGCGUCUGGAAAGGCGCGCGAUACAGGGUGACAGCCCCGUACACAAAAGCGCAUGUGCUGUGAGCUCGAUGAGUAGGGCGGGACACGUGGUAUCCUGUCUGAAUAUGGGGGGACCAUCCUCCAAGGCUAAAUACUCCUGACUGACCGAUAGUGAACCAGUACCGUGAGGGAAAGGCGAAAAGAACCCCGGCGAGGGGAGUGAAAAAGAACCUGAAACCGUGUACGUACAAGCAGUGGGAGCACCCUUUGGGUGUGACUGCGUACCUUUUGUAUAAUGGGUCAGCGACUUAUAUUCUGUAGCAAGGUUAACCGAAUAGGGGAGCCGGAGGGAAACCGAGUCUUAACCGGGCGUUAAGUUGCAGGGUAUAGACCCGAAACCCGGUGA